rnacentral:lncRNA from 1 species
UAUGUAACCAGUUGUGAAGGGACGUGGUGAUGCAGGGACGUGGUGAUGCAGGGACGUGGUGGCACUGCGGGCUAAACCGCAGAAUCCUGUGCUGCAGGGUCAGAAGACCAAGCAGUCGUAAGAUCGAAUCCACGCGACGGAGUGAGCGCCCGUCGCUUGUCCCAGCUCCCGCCAACCUAGCGGUUCAAAAGCAUGCAAAUGCGAGUAGAUAAAUAGGGACCACCUCGGUGGGAAGGAAACAGCGCUCCGUGUCUAAGCCGCACUGGCCAUGUGACCACGGAAGAUUGUCUUCGGACAAAACGCUGGCUCUAUGGCUUGGAAACGGGGAUGAGCACCGCCCCCUAGAGUCGAACACGACUGGACAAAAAUUGUCAAGGGGAACCUUUACCUUUAACCAAUUGUGAAGCUGCUCCAGCUAGUUUUCACUUACAGACUUUUCACAUCGUAUCUUUCUCUCUGUACUAACGGGUUAUCUCUAAGAUCACAGGUGAACACACACAAACACAUCCUUAAAUCCCACGUUCGUUCCAAUUCUUACUUUAAAAAAAAAACACAUCAGCCUCAAUUGAUUUUUGCAGCAUAAAACAACUGGGGAUCUGAUACCCAGCAGUUCCCAGAAACUUUUCUCUCUAUGCAGAACAAGUAAAUUAAAUUACUUUCAUUACAUCUUCAAGGCUCAAAGAAUAGUGACAUGUAAUUAGAGAGCUAAACAGCAACAAUUUCUUUCUGGUAAAUUUGCUUGAGCUAAUUUUGUUAAUAAGACUCAUAAUUGUUUCACGCACAUUCAAUGCAUCACUUUUACCUAGGACCUCCCUACUCCGUCGGAAUCUUUAAACAUCUUUGUGUCAGUUCGGUAAGGAUGAGCAUCAGAGUCAGUGGCAAUCCAAAGCAGAGUGAUGACCGAGCAGAGCCGAAACUUUUGCCUGACCUUCAGAGUAAUGGCAGAGCCAAAAGAGUGAACAGAGAAUUUGUGCCCAGAUCACUGCUGACUUUGUGAAUGCAGUCCUCAAGAAGGGCAGACAUUUUAACAAGUUUUUCUUGCGUGCCAACAACAAUUGUCAACAUGGAAAGGAAGUGAAAAAGAUGAGGAGGAAGAAAGCCCAUCCUGAGAAAGGUUUAACUCUUUAUCUGCCUUUACACACACAAAGAGAUGAGGUUUUC